CCCUUUGUGGUUCAGUGGAUAGGCCGUCUGCCUCCUAAGUAGAAGGGUGCGGGUUUGAGUCCCGCCACGAGUG
rfam:Taenia asiatica genome assembly, scaffold: TASK_contig0010395